UACGUAGGGGACAAGCGUUGUCCGGAAUUAUUGGGCGUAAAGCGCGUGUAGGCGGCCAGAUAGGUCUGCUGUGAAAACUCGAGGCUCAACUUCGAGCUGUCGGUGGAAACUUUCUGGCUAGAGUCCGGAAGAGGAGAGUGGAAUUCCUGGUGUAGCGGUGAAAUGCGCAGAUAUCAGGAAGAACACCCGUGGCGAAAGCGGCUCUCUGGAACGGUACUGACGCUGAGACGCGAAAGCGUGGGGAGCGAACAGG
rnacentral:rRNA from 1 species